rnacentral:rRNA from 1 species
GGUAAGUGCACCAGAUGUUAUUAGGUGGAUGACUUGGCUUGAGUUGGCGAUGAAGGACGUGACUAACUACGAUAUUGCCUCGGCGAGUUGUAUGUAAACUUUGAACCGAGGAUGUCCGAAUGAGACUUCUUCAAAGAAUCCGUAAGGAUGGCGAACGCAGGGAAUUGAAACGUCUUAGUACCUGCAGGAAAAGAAACCAAUUGGGAUGCUGUAAGUAAGGGCGACUGAAAACGGCAUAGAGCAAACUGAAUCCUUUGCAGUAAUGUAAAGGAGAUGUGGUGUUGUAAGACUACCCUUAAGUCCGAAUCAACCAAUCUGAACUUCCCUGGAACGGGAGGCCGUAGAGGGUGAAAGCCCCGUAAGAAUAAAUUGAAGGAUCUAGGUAGUAUCUUGAGUAGCGUUUGUUGGAUAUCAAGCGUGAAUCUGGGGGACAUUAACCUCUAACUCUAAAUACAUCUCAAGUCCGAUAGCGAAUAGUACCGUGAGGGAACGUUGAAAAGAACCCUUAACAGGAAGUUAAAAGACUCUGAAACCUAAUAAUGAUAGUGGGAUACGGCUCUAAGGAGUUGUAUCGUGCGUUUUGAAUAACGUGCCAGGGAGUUAAUUUGUGUGGCGAGGAUAAUCAUUUAACAUGAGCAUCCAGAGCGAAAGCGAUUUUCCGCAGUUUACGAGGGAAAAGGUAUGAAAGUGCCUCAAGUCACAUGGAUCAGACCCGAAGCCUGUCGAUCUAACCCUGAGUAAGGUGAAGUGUCAGUAAAAUGAUGUGGAGGCCUGAAGAGGUGCUACGAGCAAGUGCUCUUGUAACUUGGGGCUAGGGGUGAAAAGCCAAUCGAGACAGGUGAUAGCUGGUUCCUAUUAAAGUUGGCCGUAGUCAAGUCUGUGGCGAGAUAACUGAAGUGGUAGAGAUACGGAUUGAGGAUUUUGGGCUGGAAACGGCUCGGUCUUCUGUCCAACUCCGAAUGCUUUAGUAUUGAAGACCCGUGGAAACGGGGCGCUGGGGUAAGCUUAGCGUCCGAGAGGGGAACAACCCAGACUAUAGUUAAGGUCCCAAAAUGUUGAUUAAGUGUUAAAGGGUGAAAGGUGUUUAUACCCUAAGACAGCGAGGAGGUUGGCUUAGAAGCAGCCACCCUACAAUAAGUGCGUAACAGCUUACUUGUCGAGGGUAUAGGCCCUGAAAAUGGACGGGGCUAAAUCAACUACCGAUACUAUAGACAUCAGAAAUGAUUGUGGUAAAUAGGCGUUCUGGUUGGGUAAAAGUGUUUUCGAGAGGAAGCAUGAACCGAUUAGAAAUGAGAAUCCUGGUGGUAGUAGGAUCAGAGCGGUGUGAGAAUCACCGCCGCUGAAAGGGCAAGGGUUCCUUGACAAUGCAAAUCAGUCAAGGGUCAGUUGAUCCUAACCUAACUCCUAACUGGAGUGAUGGGAAAGGGUAACAGGUUAAUAUUCCUGUACUGCUUAAGUAUGUGCGGCAACGCAAGUUAAAUUUCAGACAUUUCUGGCUAGACCGACAAGAAUUUAUUCUUGUUAAUAACAAUAAAUCUAAUGAGUACUGUAAUGGUGAGAUUUAGAUUAAGGAUUAGAACAGUACACCUUAUGGUGUAUUCGGUUGAUGCCCGGAAUCCGUGAAAAUGGAAUUUGAAUAGAUCUUAAGUAAUCAUACCUAGAACCGGCACAGGUGCCCCUAGGUGAGAAACCUAAAGUGUGAAGGUGUAAUCUAAUUGAGGGAAUUCGGCAAUCUAGCCCCGUAUCUUCGGUAUAAGGGGUCCCUGCUUUUGUUUUCGUAUGAGUGCGAAAGCAGGGCGCAGUGACUAGGGGGGUCCGACUGUUUAACAAAAACUUAACCUUCUGCUAGUCCGUAAGGAUGCGUACAGAAGGUGACGUCUGCCCAGUGCCAGUACUUUAAGCUCUGUUUCAACGGAGUGAAGAGCUGGUAAACGGCGGGAGUAACUAUAACUCUCUUAAGGUAGCGAAAUGCCUUGCCGUUUGAUUGACGGCCUGCAUGAAUGGCGUAACGAGAUCCCCGCUGUCCCCAAUUAGAAGCCUCCGAACACUCUUUACUGGUGCAAAGGCCAGUGUUUCCCAGUGGGAAGUGAAGACCCCGUGAAACUUUACUGUAGCCUGUAGUUGUAACGUGAAACUUGUUGUACAGCGUAAAUGGGAGUUGUUAUGUUUGGGUCGCCAGAUCUGAAAUAGACAUCAAUGGAACACCAUUCUCCGAAUUUUACGUUACUUUACCUGCUUAGGCAGGGACACCUAUUGGUAGACAGUUUGGCUGGGGUGGCACCCCGCUGAAAAGAUAUCAGUGGGGCCCAAUGGUUAGCUCAACCGGGUCAGAAAUCCGGUGUAGAGUGCAAAGGCAAAAGCUAGCCUGAUUGGAAUCGUAAUAAUAUCGCGUCCAAACACGAAAGUGUGGCUUAGCGAACUCCUGAAUCCUCCUUAAUGGGGGUCAGGAAUGACUGAAAAGUUACUCCGGGGAUAACAGAGUUGUCGCGCCCGAGAGCUCAAAUCGACGGCGCGGCUUGCUACAUCGAUGUCGGCUCUUCCUAUCCUGGCAGUGCAGAAGCUGCCAAGGGUGAGGGUGUUCACCUAUCAAAAGGGAUCGUGAGCUGGGUUCAGAACGUUGUGAGACAGUUUGUUUAAUAUCUACUGGGAAUGUUGGUGUCUGAGGGGAAGGGUCUUCUAGUACGAGAGGAACGAAGGCUCGACGCCACUGGUGUAUCGGUUGUCCAAAAGGGCAUGCCGAGCAGCUACGCGUUAAUGGAUAAGUGCUGAAAGCAUCUAAGCACGAAGCCAUUCUUGAAAAGAGACACUAUGGAUAUCGCUAAAAGAGUGGUUUGAUAGAAUUGGUGUAUACGUACGAAGCUUCGGCGACGUAUUAAGCAUGCAAUCACUAACAAUCCUUUUGCACUUACCAU